GAUGAACGCUAGCGGGAGGCUUAACACAUGCAAGUCGAGGGGCAGCAUAGGGUAGCAAUACUCUGAUGGCGACCGGCAAACGGGUGAGUAACGCGUAUGCAACCUACCCUGUACAGGGGGAUAACCCGGAGAAAUUCGGACUAAUAUCCCGUAAUAAUAUCCGGAGGCAUCUUUGGAUAUUUAAAGUUUCGACGGUACGGGAUGGGCAUGCGUAACAUUAGCUGGUUGGUAAGGUAACGGCUUACCAAGGCUAUGAUGUUUAGGGGUCCUGAGAGGGUGGUCCCCCGCACUGGUACUGAGACACGGACCAGACUCCUACGGGAGGCAGCAGUGAGGAAUAUUGGUCAAUGGGCGCAAGCCUGAACCAGCCAUCCCGCGUGCAGGAAGACGGCCCUAUGGGUUGUAAACUGCUUUUCCAGGGAGAGAAACUUACGCACGUGUUGCGUGACUGACGGUACCUGGGAAUAAGCAUCGGCUAACUCCGUGC
rnacentral:rRNA from 1 species